rnacentral:tRNA from 1 species
UCCUGGUUAGCUCAGUUGGUACAGCGCUCCAAUGGAACUGGAGAAGUCCCUGGUUCAAUACCAGGACCGGGGG